rnacentral:rRNA from 1 species
GACGAACGCUGGCGGCGUGCCUAAUACAUGCAAGUCGAGCGGACUUGACAGAGCUUGCUCUGUUCAAGUUAGCGGCGGACGGGUGAGUAACACGUGGGCAACCUGCCCUGCAGAUUGGGAUAACUCCGGGAAACCGGGGCUAAUACCGAAUAACAUCGAAGAUUUCAUGCUCUUCUUUUGAAAGAAGGCUUUGGCUAUAACUGCAGGAUGGGCCCGCGGCGCAUUAGCCAGUUGGUGAGGUAACGGCUCACCAAGGCGACGAUGCGUAGCCGACCUGAGAUGGUGAUCGGCCACACUGGGACUGAGACACGGCCCAGACUCCUACGGGAGGCAGCAGUAGGGAAUCUUCCGCAAUGGACGAAAGUCUGACGGGGCAACGCCGCGUGAGUGAUGAAGGUUUUCGGAUCGUAAAACUCUGUUGUUAGGGAAGAACAUGUACGGGAGUAACUGUCCGUACCUUGACGGUACCUGACCAGAAAGCCACGGCUAACUACGUGCCAGCAGCCGCCGUAAAAC